ACGGAAGGCAGCAGUGAGGAAUAUUGGUCAAUGGACGGAAGUCUGAACCAGCCAAGUCGCGUGAAGGAUGAAGGUUCUAUGGAUUGUAAACUUCUUUUGCCCGAGGGUAAAGUCAGGUACGUGUACCUGUUUGCAAGUAUCGGGUGAAUAAGCAUCGGCUAACUCCGUGCCAGCAGCCGCGGUAAUACGGAGGAUGCGAGCGUUAUCCGGAUUUAUUGGGUUUAAAGGGUGCGUAGGCGGAAUGUUAAGUCAGUGGUAAAAGCGUGUGGCUCAACCAUACCAAGCCGUUGAAACUGGCGUUCUUGAGUGUAAACGAGGUAGGCGGAAUAUGACAUGUAGCGGUGAAAUGCUUAGAUAUGUCAUAGAACCCCGAUUGCGAAGGCAGCUUACCAGCAUACAACUGACGCUGAGGCACGAAAGCGUGGGUAUCAAACAGGAUUAGAUACCCUGGUA
rnacentral:rRNA from 2 species